rnacentral:tRNA from 1 species
GCCCUCGUAGCUCAGCGGAGAGAGCAGGAGCCUUCUAAGCUCUGGGUCGCAGGUUCGAGUCCUGCCGGGGGCGCCA